rnacentral:rRNA from 1 species
GGUGUCCCUUCGGGGACAAGGUGACAGGUGGUGCAUGGUUGUCGUCAGCUCGUGUCGUGAGAUGUUGGGUUAAGUCCCGCAACGAGCGCAACCCCUGUGGUUAGUUGCCAGCAAGUAGCGUUGGGCACUCUAGCCAGACUGCCGGUGAUAAAUCGGAGGAAGGUGGGGACGACGUCAAAUCAUCAUGCCCUUCAUGUCCUGGGCUACACACGUACUACAAUGGCCGUUACAACGGGAAGCGAAGGAGCAAUCCGGAGCAAAUCCCUUAAAGGCGGUCCCAGUUCAGAUUGUGGGCUGAAACUCGCCCACAUGAAGGCGGAAUUGCUAGUAAUUGCAGAUCAGCAUGCUGCAGUGAAUACGUUCCCGGGCCUU